AACCACUCAAGCAAUAUGCCCCAUGCCAGUUGACUUGCUUGUUGUUGUCAAUGCCAACUCAAAAUGGGUUACUACGAUGCUGUCAUGCUCUCUCUC